UUUUAUUAGUUAAAACAUUGGAUCUCAUCCAUUCAACGUAAAAACAUGCUUCACUUGAAAAAAAAUCAAGAUGCAUAAAAACUAACCAUUCACAUUAGAUGUCAAAAACAAUAAGGGAAGAAGUAGUAUUGAUUAUUAGAAACUAUGUCCAUAAAUUUUCAUUUUCGAAUAAAUUUCUACUUCGAUGAAUCAAUACAUGAAUUCAUUCGUGCAAGAACCAUUUUUUUAUUCUUCAAUGUAAUUUGAAGCGUUUUUACAUGACAAAAUAAAAAUGUUUAUAUUACUCAACGCUGAUAAACCUGGAUUUGUAGUAGCUAGAUCUGCCAAGUGUGACUUUAAACUUGCGAUAAUAUUAAAAUAAUAUGAAUAUAUUAAUUUAUUUAUAAUUGUGUCUAUGUAUGGUUUAUAUAUUUGGGCCUUAAAUGGGCUGAAAACAUCUUAUUUGGGCUUUCCUUAUCAAAAAGGGAAUCCCUAGCUAAUUUCAUCAUUGUCAGUAUCAAUUCAAUCCUCAUAACAAUAUAGAGAAAUUUUGAACUAAAAAAUGAUUGAUGUCGUUUGAAGACCAUGAUAUAGGUUAUCCUAUUUACAAUUAUUAUUUCGAACGUAUGUUUCUCUGUUCCGAAAAAAUUAUUAUUCAGUUAUUUUGUUACCGAAUGUCCUAAAGCUAAAAUUGAAAAUGUGAUCAGACAAAUCCAGAACAUGAGCUUCAAGAGCCUUUGAUAAAUUUUGAAUUUAAAAAAUCCUCUAUAUUAAUUUGAGAAUAAAAUAGAUAAAUUUUAAAAGUUGGAAUAGACAUAAAUGAAAGGUUGAGAUAGAAUGCGAUAUUAACCCAAGCAAUAAUAUAAAAAUAUCUUAUUGUGAGAACUGUAAUUAAGAAAUUAUUAUUGAUUUUCUUUGAAAAAAACAAAAAACAAAUAACUUAUAAAUUAAUUGCAUUGAACCUAUAAAAUAUCUAUACUAAAUAAGUAGGGUUAAUUUCAUGAAAGAAUUCUCGGUGUUUAGCAAUAAGAAUAUAUUCUCCACUAAAAAUGCUAUCUUUCGUAAGAAUGAGAAUUAAUGGAUAUGAAUAAAUCAAUGAAAUCUACGAAUAAGACUUUUAUAAUGCAAAAAUAAUCAUUUAAACUUGGGUUCGAGUCUUAGAGAGGUCGAAAAUUUCAUCAAUUAAUUGAUGCUCCAUCUAGUUGGACUUGAUCGUCAACGCGACAUGCUAUGGUGAGAAUCCUUUCGUGGAGUGCAAGCGGGAGGGGUCGCGGUAUAUGAACUGGGAUUGAAUUCAUUACACAGAGAUUCAUCUACUCUUGUCUUGUCGUCUCCACUACAUUUGUAAUAAUCUUCGGCCUUUGCUUAAUUAUUGUAUUAAUCUGAUAUCUAUUCUGUCAUGGUUAGUUUUUAUGCAUCUUGAUUUUUUCUUUUCCCUAGUGAAGCAUGUUUAUGUGUUGAAUGAGAU
rnacentral:lncRNA from 1 species